rnacentral:rRNA from 1 species
UUAAGUAAUUAAGAGCUUACGGUGAAUACCUUGGCAUUUAGAAGCGAUGAAGGGCGUGACUACCAACGAAAUGUUUCGGGUAGCUGGAAGUAAGCAAUGAUCCGGAAGUUCCCGAAUGAGGAAACUCUAUAAUACUGUCUGUAGAAUAAAUAUAUAGAUAAGAGCUAACUUGGCGAACUGAAACAUCUUAGUAGCCAAAGGAAAAGAAAGCAAAAGCGAUUCCCUUAGUAGCGGCGAGCGAAGCGGGAACAGCCUAAACCACUUUAAUAAGUUUUAGUGGGGUUGUGGGACAAUAAUCAAAUUAAAUUAAGUUAGAUGAAUUAGUUGGAAUACUAAAUCAUAGAAGGUGAUAAUCCUGUAAUCGAAAACUGCAUUUAAUAUAUUUGUAUCCCAAGUAGCAUGGGGCACGUGAAAUCCCGUGUGAAUCAACGAGGACCACCUCGUAAGGCUAAAUAUUCCUAAAUGACCGAUAGUGAACAAGUACCGUGAGGGAAAGGUGAAAAGAACCUCGAGAGAGGAGUGAAAUAGAAUAUGAAACCGUAAGCUUACAAGCAAUAGAAGGACGACUAAACGUUUAACUAUGUGCAUGUUGAAGAAUGAGCCGGCGACUUGUAGGUAGUGGCAGGUUAAGAUAGAGAAUAUCGAAGCCACAGUGAAAGCGAGUUUGAACAGAACAUUCGUCACUAUUUACAGACCCGAACCCGGAUGAUCUAGCCAUGGCCAGGAUGAAGCUUAGGUAACACUAAGUGGAGGUCCGAACCGACUGAUGUUGAAAAAUCAGCGGAUGAGUUGUGGCUAGGGGUGAAAUGCCAAUCGAAUCCGGAGCUAGCUGGUUCUCCCCGAAAUGCGUUUUGGCGCAGCGGUUAGUGCUGAUUCUUAGGGGUAAAGCACUGUUUCGGUAAGGGCUAUGAAAAUAGUACCAAAUCGAGGCAAACUCUGAAUACUAAGUAUGUAACUAACCAGUGAGACAGUGGGGGAUAAGCUUCAUUGUCAAAAGGGAAACAGCCCAGACCACCAGCUAAGGCCCCCAAAUAUUUGCUAAGUGAUAAAGGAAGUAAGAAUGCAUAUACAACCAGGAGGUUUGCUUAGAAGCAGCAAUCCUUUAAAGAGUGCGUAAUAGCUCACUGGUCUAGUGGUCUUGCGCCGAAAAUGAAUGGGACUAAGCAUUUUGCCGAAGCUGUGGGAUAUAAUUAUCGGUAGGGGAGCGUUCUGUAUUAGAUAGAAGCAUUAACGUAAGUGGAUGUGGACGAAACAGAAGUGAGAAUGUCGGCUUGAGUAGCGAAAACAUUGGUGAGAAUCCAAUGCCCCGAAAACCUAAGGUUUCCUUCGGAAGGUUCGUCCGCGAAGGGUGAGUCAGGACCUAAAGCGAGGCUGAAAAGCGUAGUUGAUGGACAACAGUUUAAUAUUACUGUACUGUUUGUUAUUUAUAAUGAAGGACAAAGAAGGCUAGAUCGGCCGGAUGUUGGUUACCGGUUUAAACUAUCAAGGUAUUGAUGAACGGAGAAAACGUUUUAAGCUAAGAAGUGAAUACAAGAUACUAAGGUAUUAAAGCGAUUGACGUCAUACUUUCUAGAAAAGCUCUAAUUAUGUUAAAUAAUAAAUACCUGUACCCUAAACCGACACAGGUAGGUAGGUAGAGAAUACUAAGGGGAGCGAGAUAACUCUCUCUAAGGAACUCGGCAAAAUAGCUCCGUAACUUUGGAAGAAGGAGUACCCAUGUAGGGUUGCAAUAAAUAGGCCCAAGCGACUGUUUAUCAAAAACAUAGGUCUCCGCGAAGUCGCAAGACAAUGUAUGGGGGCUGACGCCUGCCCAGUGCCGGAAGGUUAAAGAAGCUGGUUAGUAACUAACGAAGCUAGCGACUGAAGCCCCGGUGAACGGCGGCCGUAACUAUAACGGUCCUAAGGUAGCGAAAUUCCUUGUCGGGUAAGUUCCGACCCGCACGAAAGGCGUAACGAUUUGGGCACUGUCUCAGAGAGAGACUCGGCGAAAUAGAAUUGUCUGUGAAGAUGCGGACUACCUGUACCUGGACAGAAAGACCCUAUGAAGCUUUACUGUAGUUUGGAAUUGAAUUUGGGUUUAAUUUGCGCAGCAUAGGUGGGAAGCUAAGAUUAUACAUUUGCGGAUGUAUAUGAGCUAUCAGUGAGAUACCACUCUUAUUAAACUAGAAUUCUAACUUUGAAGCCGUUAACCGGCCAAAAGACAGUUCCAGAUGGGCAGUUUGACUGGGGCGGUCGCCUCCUAAAAGGUAACGGAGGCGUGCAAAGGUUCUCUCAGGCUGGUCGGAAAUCAGUCGUAGAGUAUAAAGGCAAAAGAGAGCUUGACUGCAAGACCUACAAGUCGAGCAGAGACGAAAGUCGGCCUUAGUGAUCCGACAGUGCUGAGUGGAAAGGCUGUCGCUCAACGGAUAAAAGUUACUCUAGGGAUAACAGGCUGAUCUCCCCCAAGAGUUCACAUCGACGGGGAGGUUUGGCACCUCGAUGUCGGCUCAUCGCAUCCUGGGGCGGUAGCACGUCCCAAGGGUUGGGCUGUUCGCCCAUGAAAGCGGUACGCGAGCUGGGUUCAGAACGUCGUGAGACAGUUCGGUCCAUAUCCGGUAUAGGCGUUAGAGUAUUGAGAGGAUUUCUCCUUAGUACGAGAGGACCGGGAGAAACAUACCGCUAGUGUACCAGUUAUUGUGCCAACAGUAAACGCUGGGUAGCUAAGUAUGGAUUGGAUAACCGCUGAAAGCAUCUAAGUGGGAAGCCUUCCUCAAGAUGAGUACUCUUUCCUUUUUAAAGGAUAAGAUCACGGUAAGACUAGCCGUUAGAUAGGCAUCAAGUGUAAGUAUAGCAAUAUAUUCAGCUGAGAUGUACUAACAGAUCGAAUACUUAACAAU